rnacentral:tRNA from 1 species
GGGUGUAGCUCAGGGGUAGAGUGCGUGCUUAGCAUGCAUGAGGUCCUGGGAUCAAUCCCCAGUACCUCCA